GAUGAACGCUGGCGGCGUGUCUAAGGCAUGCAAGUCGAACGGACUGUUAUUUGUAGCAAUACUUAGAACAGUUAGUGGCAAACGGGUGCGUAACACAUUGGUAACCUGCCUCAAAGUCGGGCAUAAUCCCGCGAAAGUGGGACUAAUUCCACGAUGGUCAUCGAAGGUGAGAUUCCUUCGAUGUAAAGUCGCAAGACGCUUUGAGAGGGGCCUAUGGCCUAUCAGCUUGUUGGUGAGGUAACGGCUCACCAAGGCUAUGACGGGUAGGGGUGUGAGAGCACGACCCCCCUCCACUGGGACGUGAGACACUGCCCACGACACCUACCGGGUGGGCUGCAGUCGAGAAUAAUUCCCCUAACUAGGCCGGAAACGGACGUGAGGGAGGCGACGCCG
rnacentral:rRNA from 1 species